AUGGCCUACUCUCAGUGUUGGUGUCUGAGCUUCCUCUGUGUGGAACAGAAGAUUUUUAAACCUGUAGAUUUAUAGCAAACAAUGAAUCUCUAAAUAGUUCUUCAGAUCUUGAAGUGUUCCCACUUAUUAAUUAAUUUGAGAAGGUUUUGCCAGACCUAAGGGAGAUUUUCAUAUUUUUUCUUCUCAUAUGGCAAAGAAGUUCUCAGGCCUAUGAAUUUAUAGAAAGAAAGUGAAAUCUGGCAAGAUCAUCAGAGACUUUAAUUGGGAUUUUUGUGCUUCAGAAAACAAGAAAAUCAAGCUCAGAGAUGAAAUCAGGUCUUCCAAACCUCCUGAAAGGAGUCUCCCUGUUCUAUAUUCAGGAAGGCAUUGGUCACAGUGAGGUCCUUUUGGGAUUCUCUAGUUUUCAUGUUUCAGUGGUAGACAAGGGAGUGUUUGAAGCACCAAGAGCAUUUUCAGUGUCACUAUUCUCUGUCUUAACUCUCCUGAAGCACCAACCAUGAUCAAGCUUGCAGUCUGAGUGUAAGAUGUACAAUUCUAUUAAUAGCACUAUAUCCCCUAGUGACUGGAAUGACCAAUGCUUUCCUAUAGUACUAGUUCUCGGGGCACUUCCUCUGCUGAUGGUACUAUGAUUCUAUUUGGAGAAAAUAAGCAAAUGCUGUGAACCCCUUUUUAGCUUUAUUAGGGGCUAGGAGUGUUCUGUGGGAGAAUUGAGACAGAGCUUGGGUCUCGGAGUCCCCACGUAUAUUCAAGAAUCCUCCUAUGUAGACUGGAAGUUUACCAAUACUUAAAAUUCUAGCAGUGUCUUAGACGAAUAGAAGCACACAUUUAAAGGACUAGGUUACAUUAAGGAUUUUGAAAACAUGACAUUUAUGGUUUAACUGCUCCUCAGGAAUCAUGUCCUCAAACUGUUCAAUAAUGAUGUAAGAUGGGUGAGCAAACAAUUUAAGCUUUACUCUAAAAUAAUCUCGGCGGGAGCACAAUAUUGUAAACAGUCAUUGCUGCAUCUCCAUUCUGUGAAGUUCCCUUUCAUUGUUGUCCAUUUAUUCCUUUAAACUAAAAGUCUUUGACCAAGUUACUUAGCAUCUUCUAACAAUUCUUAAAAGUUCUUCUAAAGAAAUUCAGUGUAAGGCGGUGUGAGCUAUUACACUGACUAUGAAGAAUGUCAUUUCUAUUGAAAAGAGCAAACUUUCCACUAAACACAUUUGACCUUCUUCUAUCUGGUAUUGUGGCUCAUCUGAGAAUAGGGAUGGUGGC
rnacentral:lncRNA from 1 species